UACACACCGCCCGUCACACCAUGGGAGUUGGUUUUACCCGAAGACGGUGCGCUAACCUCGCAAGAGGAGGCAGCCGGCCACGGUAGGGUCAGCGACUGGGGUG
rnacentral:rRNA from 1 species